rnacentral:tRNA from 1 species
GCGCCCGUAGCUCAGUUGGUAGAGCAGCGGACUUUUAAUCCGUUGGUCGAUGGUUCGAUCCCAUCCGGGCGCA